GCCGGGGUGGCGGAAUUGGUAAACGCAAGGGACUUAAAAUCCCUCGUAGGUUAUCCUCUGUGCGGGUUCGAAUCCGGCCCUCGGCA
rnacentral:tRNA from 2 species